rnacentral:rRNA from 1 species
UACAGAGGUCUCAAGCGUUGUUCGGAUUCAUUGGGCGUAAAGGGUGUGUAGGUGGCGCGCUAAGUCGGGUGUGAAAUUUCGGAGCUUAACUCCGAAACUGCAUUCGAUACUGGCCGUGCUUGAGGACUGGAGAGGAGACUGGAAUUUACGGUGUAGCGGUGAAAUGCGUAGAUAUCGUAAGGAAGACCAGUGGCGAAGGCGGGUCUCUGGACAGUUCCUGACACUGAGGCACGAAGGCCAGGGGAGCAAACGGG